AGUGAACGCUGGCGGUAGGCCUAACACAUGCAAGUCGAACGGCAGCACAGUAAGAGCUUGCUCUUACGGGUGGCGAGUGGCGGACGGGGGAGGAAUACAUCGGAAUCUACUUUUUCGUGGGGGAUAACGUAGGGAAACUUACGCUAAUACCGCAUACGACCUACGGGUGAAAGCAGGGGAUCUUCGGACCUUGCGCGAUUGAAUGAGCCGAUGUCGGAUUAGCUAGUUGGCGGGGUAAAGGCCCACCAAGGCGACGAUCCGUAGCUGGUCUGAGAGGAUGAUCAGCCACACUGGAACUGAGACACGGUCCAGACUCCUACGGGAGGCAGCAGUGGGGAAUAUUGGACAAUGGGCGCAAGCCUGAUCCAGCCAUACCGCGUGGGUGAAGAAGGCCUUCGGGUUGUAAAGCCCUUUUGUUGGGAAAGAAAAGCAGCAGGUUAAUACCCCGCUGUUCUGACGGUACCCAAAGAAUAAGCACCGGCUAACUUCAUG
rnacentral:rRNA from 1 species